rnacentral:lncRNA from 1 species
GAGUCAAGGGUGGUCAAUGGGAGUCAAGGGUGGUCAAUGGGGGUCAACUGAGUCAAGGGUUAUGAUUGGGUGGUCAAUGGAGGUCAAUGAUAAUCAAUGGGGGUCAAUGGGAGUCAAUGGUGGUCAAGCAAACCAAGGUUGACCAUUGGGAGGUCAUUGGGGGUCAACCAAGUCAAGGGUGACCAUUGGGUGGUCAAUGGGGGUCAACAAUGGUCAAGCAAACCAAGGUUGACCAUUGGGUGGUCAAUGGUGAUCAAUGGUGGUCAACCAAGUCAAGGUUGACCAGUGGGAGGUCAGUGGAAUCAAGAUUGACCAUUGGGUGGUCAAUCAAGGUCAAUGGUGGUCAAGAAUGGUCAACCGAGUCAAGGUUGACCAUUGGAAGGUCAAUGGUGGUCAAUGGGAUUCAAUGGUGAUCAAUGGUGGUCAACAAAGUCAACGUUGACCAUUGGGUGGUCAUUGGGUGUCAACCAAGUCAAGGUUGACCGUUGGGAGGUCAAUGGAGGUCAAUGAUAAUCAAUGGUGGUCAGUGGGGGAAACUGAGGCAAGGCUGACCAUUGGGUGGUCAACAGUGGUCAAUGGGGGUCAACUGAGUCAGGGGUGACCAUUGGAAAGUCAAUGGGAGUCAACGAUGGUCAACGGUGGUCAAUAGGAAUCAAUGGUGAUCAAUGGGAGUCAAUGGUGGUCAAUGGAGUCAAGGUUGACCUUUGGGUGGUCAAUGGGAGUCAGUGGAGUCAAGGUUGACCAAUGGGAGUCAAUGGUGGUCAACUGAGGCAAGGUUGACCAUUGGGUGGUCAUUGAGGGUCAAUAACGGUCAAGCAAACCAAGGUUGACCAUUGGGUGGUCAGUAUGGUCAAUGAGGUCAAGGUUGACCAUUGGGUGGCCAAUGGGGUUCAAUGGCGGUCAAUGAGUCAAUGAUGGUCAACCGAGCCAAGGUUGACCAUUGGGUGGUCAAUGGUGGUCAACAAUGGUCAAACAAGUGAAGGUUGACCAUUGGAAGGUCAGCAGUGGUGCCCAGGUCAAGGUUGACUAUUGGGUGGUCAAUGGGAGUCAAUGGUGGUCAACCGAGCCAAGGUUGACCAUUGGGUGGUCAGUGGUGGUCAACGAUGGUAAAGCGAGUGAAGGUUGACCAUUGGGUGGUCAAUGGUGGUCAAUGAGAUCAAGGUUGACCAUUGGGUGGUCAAUGGGGUUCAAUGGUUGUCAACCAAGCCAAGGUUGAUCAUUGGCUGGUCAGUGGUGGUCAACAAUGGUCAAGCAAACCAAGGUUGACCAUUGGGAGGUCAAUGGUGGUCAGUGAGGUCAAGGUUGACCAUUAGGUGGUCAGUGGGGUUCAACGGCGGUCAAUGAGUCAAUGGUGGUCAACCAAGUCAAGGUUGACCAUUGGGUGGUCAAUGGGAGUCAAUGGUGGUCAAGCAA